rnacentral:rRNA from 1 species
CAGCCGCCACGGGAAUACAGAGGGUGCGAGCGUUAAUCGGAUUUACUGGGCGUAAAGCGUGCGUAGGCGGCUUCUUAAGUCGGAUGUGAAAUCCCUGAGCUUAACUUAGGAAUUGCAUUCGAUACUGGGAAGCUAGAGUAUGGGAGAGGAUGGUAGAAUUCCAGGUGUAGCGGUGAAAUGCGUAGAGAUCUGGAGGAAUACCGAUGGCGAAGGCAGCCAUCUGGCCUAAUACUGACGCUGAGGUACGAAAGCGUGGGGAGCAAACAGGAUUAGAUACCCCCGUAGUCCCUGUCUCUUAUAC